rnacentral:rRNA from 1 species
AUGCACCGUGCUACCCCGCUGGGCAUUCAUUGUGGCCCCAUCAAAAUAAUCUGCCACCGCAGCAAUGCUUCAGCAAGCCACUGUACAUGGUCGUCACAACUACCAGCCACUGUGGCAGCAGUCAUCACCAUCAAAAAACAUUCAACUUCGAGCAGUGAGUUUGGACCUCAUGAGGCACCCCAGCCAUGCUUCAACAGUUUCAAUGGAGCGAGCUACCAUGGGUAUUCACAACAACUUUCUGUCCCCAACUCAUUUGCCUAUGGCGCACACACAGGCUAUGGCAACUACCAACACCAGCGGCAACAGCUUCCACCUCCUCUGGAGUUGCCUAUUAGUGCAUCUUGGCAGCAUCUGCCUCCUCCGGUGCAACGUCUGCCAAAAUAUAGUGAGAAGUUUGUGGAGAUGACUUGA